rnacentral:rRNA from 1 species
AUGAACGCUGGCGGCGUGCCUAAUACAUGCAAGUCGAGCGAACGGACGAGAAGCUUGCUUCUCUGAUGUUAGCGGCGGACGGGUGAGUAACACGUGGAUAACCUACCUAUAAGACUGGGAUAACUUCGGGAAACCGGAGCUAAUACCGGAUAAUAUUUUGAACCGCAUGGUUCAAAAGUGAAAGACGGUCUUGCUGUCACUUAUAGAUGGAUCCGCGCUGCAUUAGCUAGUUGGUAAGUUAACGGCUUACCAAGGCAACGAUGCAUAGCCGACCUGAGAGGGUGAUCGGCCACACUGGAACUGAGACACGGUCCAGACUCCUACGGGAGGCAGCAGUAGGGAAUCUUCCGCAAUGGGCGAAAGCCUGACGGAGCAACGCCGCGUGAGUGAUGAAGGUCUUCGGAUCGUAAAACUCUGUUAUUAGGGAAGAACAUAUGUGUAAGUAACUGUGCACAUCUUGACGGUACCUAAUCAGAAAGCCACGGCUAACUACGUG